AUACUUACCUGGCAGGGGAGAUACCAUGACUGGGUUAGGCUACGGUUCACCCAGGGCAGGCUCAGCCAUUGCACCCGGCUGUUGACCCCCGCAAUUCUGCAAACGUGGGAGUCUUGACUGCAUACCCUUUUUGCUAGUGGUGCUACAGUCCACAGG